AGUGAACGCUGGCGGUAGGCCUAACACAUGCAAGUCGAACGGCAGCACAGUAAGAGCUUGCUCUUACGGGUGGCGAGUGGCGGACGGGUGAGGAAUACAUCGGAAUCUACUUUUUCGUGGGGGAUAACGUAGGGAAACUUACGCUAAUACCGCAUACGACCUACGGGUGAAAGCAGGGGAUCUUCGGACCUUGCGCGAUUGAAUGAGCCGAUGUCGGAUUAGCUAGUUGGCGGGGUAAAGGCCCACCAAGGCGACGAUCCGUAGCUGGUCUGAGAGGAUGACCAGCCACACUGGAACUGAGACACGGUCCAGACUCCUACGGGAGGCAGCAGUGGGGAAUAUUGGACAAUGGGCGCAAGCCUGAUCCAGCAAUACCGCGUGGGUGAAGAAGGCCUUCGGGUUGUAAAGCCCUUUUGUUGGGAAAGAAAAGCAGCAGGCUAAUACCCCGCUGUUCUGACGGUACCCAAAGAAUAAGCACCGGCUAACUUCGUG
rnacentral:rRNA from 1 species